AGUGAACGCUGGCGGUAGGCCUAACACAUGCCAGUCGAACGGCAGCACAGUAAGAGCUUGCUCUUACGGGUGGCGAGUGGCGGACGGGUGAGGAAUACAUCGGAAUCUACUUUUUCGUGGGGGCUAACGUAGGGAAACUUACGCUAAUACCGCAUACGACCUACGGGUGAAAGCAGGGGAUCUUCGGACCUUGCGCGAUUGAAUGAGCCGAUGUCGGAUUAGCUAGUUGGCGGGGUAAAGGCCCACCAAGGCGACGAUCCGUAGCUGGUCUGAGAGGAUGAUCAGCCACACUGGAACUGAGACACGGUCCAGACUCCUACGGGAGGCAGCAGUGGGGAAUAUUGGACAAUGGGCGCAAGCCUGAUCCAGCCAUACCGCGUGGGUGAAGAAGGCCUUCGGGUUGUAAAGCCCUUUUGUUGGGAAAGAAAAGCAGCAGGUUAAUACCCCGCUGUUCUGACGGUACCCAAAGAAUAAGCACCGGCUAACUUCGUG
rnacentral:rRNA from 1 species